rnacentral:rRNA from 1 species
UACGUAGGGGGCAAGCGUUGUCCGGAAUCAUUGGGCGUAAAGAGCGUGUAGGCGGCCCGAUAAGUCCGCCGUGAAAGUCCAGGGCUCAACCCUGGAAUGCCGGUGGAAACUGUCGGGCUGGAGUCCGGAAGAGGCGAGUGGAAUUCCUGGUGUAGCAGUGAAAUGCGUAGAUAUCAGGAGGAACACCGAUGGCGAAGGCAGGUCUCUGGGCUGACACUGACGCUCAUGCACGAAAGCGUGGGGAGCAAACAGG